rnacentral:tRNA from 1 species
AAUAAAGUGCCUGAUAAAAGGAUUAUCUUGAUAGGAUAAAUUAUAUAUUAUUUUAAUAUCUUUAUUU